CAUAAAAGAGCUUAACGUUUGCUUGUCCCUGUAGCUUAUAAAAGGGAUUAAAGCUGAAUGUUCAUGUGUCCUAUUGGCUUAUAAAAGAGUUUAAAUCUCACUUGUCCCUUCUGUUCACAAAAGAGUUUAGUGCUCAUGUGUCCCUCUUACUUACAAAAGAGCUCAAUGCUCAUGUGUCACUCCUAAGCAAGAGCUUAAUGCUCUGGUGUCUGUGUUUAUAAAAGAGCUUAAAGCUCAUGUGUCCCGGUUGCUUAUAAAAGAGCUUAAAGCUCACUUGUCCCUCUCGUUUAUAAAAAAGAGCAUAAAGGUCACAUGUCUUUAUCACUUCUUAAAGCUCACUUGUCCCUAUGGCUUGUAAAAGAGCUUGAAGCUCAUUCGUCCUGCUGCUUAUAAAAGAUUAUGAAGCUCACGUGUCCCUGUGGCUCAUAAAAGAGCUCGUCUCUGUAGCUUAUAAAAGGGCUUAAAGCUGAAAGCUCAUGUGUCCUAUUGGCUUAUAAAAGAGUUUAAGGCUCACGUGUCCCUUCUUUUCACAGAAGAGUUUAGUGCUCAUGUGUCCCUCUUACUUACAAAAUAACGCAAUGCUCAUGUGCCACUCCUAAGCAAGAGCUUAAUGCUCAUAUGUCCCUGGUGCUUAUAAAAGAGCUUAAAGCUCAUGUGUCCCGGUUGCUUAUAAAAGUGCUUAAGACUCACGUGUCCUUGCUUAAAAAGGAGUUUAAUGCUCAUAACCCAAUGAUUACGAAAUAGCUUGAUGAUCAUGUGUGAAAGCGCUUGAUGCUCAAAUGUCCAUGUUGUUUAUCUAAAAACUCUCUCGAGUGUCCAUGUUGCAUAUGAAAAGAGCUUAAUGCGCACGUAUCCUCCAGAGCUGAUGCUCACAUGUCCCUUCUGUGUCCCUGUGGCAUAUGAAAGAGCUUACAGCUCACUUGUCCCUAUCAAUUAUAACAGAGCUUAAAGCUCACUUGUCCCUAUUCCUUAUUAAAGCGCCUAAUGCUUACGUGUUCCAUGUUGCUUAUAAAAGAGUUUCAAGUUUACUUGCCCCUAUCGCUUAUAAAAGAGCUUAAAGCUCACAUAAAAUAGCAUGAAGCUCACUUGUCCUUGUGAAUUAUAGAAGAGUUUAGAGCUCACUUGUCGGUGUCGCUUAUAAAAGAGCUUAAAGGUCACUUGUCCCUUCCACUUAUACAAGAGCAUAAAGCUGACGUGUCCUGGUUGCUUGUAAUAUAGCUUAUAACUGACUUGUCCCUCUCUCUCUCUUAUAAAAGAGCUUAAACCUCACGUCUCCCUGUCACUUAUAAAAGAGCAUUCAGCUCACUUGUCUAUGUCGCUUAAAAAGAGCUCAAAGCUCAUGUGUCCAUGUCCCUUAUAAAAGAGCAUGAAGCGCACGUGUCUCUGUGGCCUAUAAAAGAGCUUAAAGCUCACUUCUCCCUGUUGCUUAUCAAAGAGCUUAAAAGUUACUUGUCCCUCCCCAUUUGUAAAUGUCCCUGACGUUUAUAAAAUUGCAUAUAGCUCAUGUGUCCUUGAUGCUUGUAAAAGAGCUUAAAGCUCACGUGUCUAUAUCGCUUAUAAAAGAGCUUAAGGCUCAUGUGUCUCUAUUGCUUAAGGCUCAUGUGUCCCUAUUGUUUAUAAAAGAGCUUAACGGUCACACGUCUCUCUUGCUUAUAAAAGAGCUUAAUGCUCAUUUAUCCUAAUGAUUAUGAAGUAGCACAAUGCUUAUGAAAGAACUUGCUCAAAUGUCCAUGUUGGUUAUGAAAAGCGUCUAAUGCUCAGGUAUCACUCAUAGCUUGAUUCUCACAUGUCCCUACUGCUUAUGAAAGAGCUUAAAGCUCACUUAUCGUGUGGCUUAUGAAAGAGCCUAAAGCUCACUUGCCCUUGUUACUUAUAAAGAGCAUAAAGCUCACUUGCCCAUGCUGCUUAUUGAAAACUUAAAGCUCACUUGUCCCUGUCAUUUGUAAAAGAACUUAAAGCUCACUUAUCCUCAUUGUUAAUUGAAGAGCUUAAAGCAUAAAGCUCACUUGUCCCUGCUGCAUAUUAAACAGCAUAAAGCUCGCGUGUCCCUAUGGCUUAUAGAAAAGCUUGAAGGUUAGUUGUCCCAGUCUCUUAUAGAAGAGUUUAAAGCUCACGCUCCCUGUUGCUUAUAAAAGAGAUUAAAAUAAUCUUGUCCAUGUCCCUAAUAGAACAACUUAAAGCUCACAUAAAAGAGCAUGUAGCUCACGUGUCCAUAUGGAUAUAAAAUAGCAUAAAGCUCAACGUUUCCUUCCCAUUUAUGAAAAAGCUUAGAGGUCACUUGUCCCUCUCGCUUAUAAAAGGGCUUAAAGCUCACGGGUCCCUGUUGUUUAAUAUAAGAGCUUAAAGCUCACUUUUCUCUGCCACUCGUAAAAGACCAUAAAGCUUACUUGCUCCUGCCGCUUAUAAAAGAGCGUAAAGCUCACUUGUCCCUGUCAUUUAUGAAAGAGUUUUAACGCUCACUUGUUCCCAUCAUUAAUUAAAGAGCUUGAAGCAUAACGCUCACUUGUCCCUGCUGCUUAUUAAAGAGCAUAAAGCCCACUUGUCCCUCUGGCUUAUGGAAAAGCUUAAAGGUUGCUUGUCCCUGUCUCCUAUAGAAGAGUUUAAAGCUCAUGUGUCCAUGUUGCUUAUAAAAGAGAUUAAUAUAAACUUGUCCAUGUCCCUACUAAAAUAACUUAAAGCUCACAUAAAAGAGCAUGACGCUCACGUGUCCCGAUGUUGAUUAUAAAAGAGCUUAAAGCUCACUUGUCCUCGUCGCUUGCAAAAGAGCUAAAGCUCACUUGUCCCCCCUCCCCCCGCGCUUAUAAAAGAACUUAAAAGCUCACUUGUCUCUGCCGCUUAUAGAAGAGCUCAAAGUUCUGGGGUCUGUGUAUAUAAAAGAGCUUAAAGCUCAUGUGUCCCGGUUGCUUAUAAAAGAGCUUAAAGCUCACUUGUCCCUCUCGUUUAUAAAAAAGAGCAUAAAGGUCACAUGUCUUUAUCGCUUCUUAAAGAGCUUAAAGCUCACUUGUCCCUAUGGCUUAUAAAAGAGCUUGAAGCUCAUUCGUCCUGCUGCUUAUAAAAGAGUAGGAAGCUCACGUGUCAAUGUGGCUCAUAAAAGAGCUUAAAGUUUGCUUGUCUCUGUAGCUUAUAAAAGGGCUUAAAGCUGAAAGCUCAUGUGUCCUAUUGGCUUAUAAAAGAGUUUAAAGCUCACGUGUCCCUUCUGUUCAUAAAAGAGUUUAGUGCUCAUGUGUCCCUCUUACUUACAAAAGAGCGCAAUGCUCAUGUGUCACUCCUAAGCAAGAGCUUAAUGCUCACAUGUCCCUGGUGCUUAUAAAAGAGCUUAAAGCUCAUGUGUCCCGGUUGCUUAUAAAAGUGCUUAACACUCACGUGUCCUUGCUUAAGAAAGAGUUUAAUGCUCAUAACCCAAUGAUUACGAAAUAGCUUGAUGAUCAUGUGUGAAAGCGCUUAAUGCUCAAAUGUCCCUGUUGCUUAUCUAAAAACUUUCUCGAGUGUCCCUGUUGCAUAUGAAAAGAGCUUAAUGCGCACGUAUCCCUCAGAGCUGAUGCUCACAUGUCCCUCAUGUGUCCCUGUGGCAUAUGAAAGAGCUUACAGCUCACUUGUCCCUAUCAAUUAUAAAAGUGCUUAAAGCUCACUUGUGCCUAUUCCUUAUUAAAGCGCCUAAAGCUUACGUGUUCCCUGUUGCUGAUAAAAGAGUUUCAAGUUUACUUGCCCCCAUCGCUUAUAAAAGAGCUUAAAGCUCACAUAAAAUAGCAUGAAGCUCACUUGUCCUUGUGAAUUAUAAAAGAGUUUAGAGCUCACUUGUCGGUGUCGCUUAUAAAAGAGCUUAAAGCUCACUUGUCCCUCCCACUUAUACAAGAGCAUAAAGCUCACGUGUCCUGGUUGCUUGUAAAAUAGCUUAUAGCUGACUUGUCCCUCUCUCUCGCUCUCUUAUAAAAGAGCUUAAACCUCACGUCUCCCUGUCACUUAUGAAAGAGCAUUCAGCUCACUUGUCUAUGUCACUUAUAAAGAGCUCAAAGCUCAUGUGUCUAUGUCCCUUAUAAAAGAGCAUGAAGCGCACGUGUCUCUGUGGCCUAUAAAAGAGCUUAAAGCUCACUUCUCCCUGUUGCUUAUCAAAGAGCUUAAAAGUUACUUGUCCCUCCCCAUUUGUAAAUGUCCCUGUCGUUUAUAAAAUUGCAUAUAGCUCAUGUGUCCUUGAUGCUUGUAAAAGAGCUUAAAGCUCACGUGUCUAUAUCGCUUAUAAAAGAGCUUAAAGCUCUAUAUCGCUUAUAAAAGGCUUAAAGCUCAUGUGUCUCUAUUGCUAAGGCUCAUGUGUCCCUAUUGUUUAUAAAAGAGCUUAACGGCACAGUUACUCUUGCUUAUAAAAGAGCUUAAUGCUCAUUUAUCCUAAUGAUUAUGAAGUAGCACAAUGCUUAUGAAAGAACUUGCUCAAAUGUCCAUGUUGCUUAUGAAAAGCGUCUAAUGCUCAGGUAUCACUCAUAGCUUGAUUCUCACAUGUCCCUACUGCUUAUGAAAGAGCUUAAAGCUCACUUAUCGUGUGGCUUAUGAAAGAGCCUAAAGCUCACUUGCCCUUGUUACUUAUAAAAUAGCAUAAAGCUCACUUGCCCAUGCUGCUUAUUGAAAAACUUUAAAGCUCACUUGUCCCUGUCAUUUGUAAAAGAACUUAAAGCUCACUUAUCCUCAUUGUUAAUUGAAGAGCUUAAAGAUAAAGCUCACUUAGGUCCCUCUGCAUAUUAAACACUAAAGCUCGCGUGUCCCUAUGGCUUAUAGAAAGCUUGAAGGUUAGUUGUCCCAGUCUCUUAUAAAAGAGUUUAAAGCUGACGCUCCCUGUUGCUUAUAAAAGAGAUUAAAAUAAUCUUGUCCAUGUCCCUAAUAGAACAUCUUAAAGUCACAUAAAAGAGAUGAGCUCACGUGUCCAUAUGGAUAUAAAAUAGCAUAAAGCUCAACGUUUCCUUCCCAUUUAUGAAAAAGCUUAGAGGUCACUUGUCUCUCUCGCUUAUAAAAGGGCUUAAAGCUCACGGGUCCCUGUUGUUUAAUAUAAGAGCUUAAAGUUCACCUUUCUCUGCCACUCGUAAAAGACCGUAAAGCUUACUUGCUCCUGCCGCUUAUAAAAGAGCGUAAAACUCACUUGUCCCUGUCAUUUAUGAAAGAGUUUUAACGAUCACUUGUUCCCAUCAUUAAUUAAAGAGCUUGAAGCAUAACGCUCACUUGUCCCUGCUGCUUAUUAAACAACAUAAAGCCCACUUGUCCCUCUGGCUUAUGGAAAAGCUUAAAGGUUGCUCGUCCCUGUCUCCUAUAGAAGAGUUUAAAGCUCAUGUGUCCAUGUUGCUACUAAAAUAACUUAAAGCUCACAUAACAGAGCAUGACGCUCACAUAUCCCGAUGUUGAUUAUAAAAGAGCUUAAAGCUCACUUGUCCUCGUCGCUUGCAAAAGAGCUUAAAGCUCACUUGUCCUCGUCGCUUGCAAAAGAGCUAAAGCUCACUUGUCCCCCAACGCCCCCGCUUAUAAAGAGCUUAAAAGCUCACUGUCUCUGCGCUUAUAAAGAGUUAAAGUUCUGGGGUCUGUAUAAAAGAGCUUAAAGCUCACUUGUCCCCUCGUUUAUAAAAAAGAGCAUAAAGGUCACAUGUCUUUAUCGCUUCUUAAAGAGCUUAAAGCUACUUGUCCCUAUGGCUUAUAAAAGAGCUUGAAGCUCAUUCGUCCUGCUGUUAAAAGAGUAUGAAGUUCACGUGUCCCUGUGGCUCAUAAAAGAGCUUAAACUUUGCUUCUCCCUGUAGCUUAUAAGGCGUAAAGAACUAUGUCAGUGUUCCUAUGGUAUAAAGUUUAAAGCUCACGUGUCCCUUCUGUUCACAGAAGAGUUUAGUGCUCAUGUGUCCCUCUUACUUACAAAAGAGCGCAAUGCUCAUGUGUCACUCCUAAGCAAGAGCUUAAUGCUCACAUGUCCCUGGUGCUUAUAAAAGAGCUUAAAGCUCAUGUGUCCCGGUUGCUUAUAAAAGUGCUUAAGACUCACGUGUCCUUGCUUAAAAUGCUCAUAACCCAAUGAUUACGAAAUAGCUUGAUGAUCAUGUGUGAAAGCGCUUGAUGCUCAAAUGUCCCUGUUGCUUAUCUAAAAACUUUCUCGAGUGUCCCUGUUGCAUAUGAAAAGAGCUUAAUGCGCACGUAUCCCUCAGAGCUGAUGCUCACAUGUCCCUCAUGUGUCCCUGUGGCAUAUGAAAGAGCUUACAGCUCACUUGUCCCUAUCAAUUAUAACAGAGCUUAAAGCUCACUUGUCCCUAUUCCUUAUUAAAGCGCCUAAAGCUUACGUGUUCCGUGUUGCUUAUAAAAGAGUUUCAAGUUUACUUGCCCCCAUCACUUAUAAAAGAGCUUAAAGCUCACAUAAAAUAGCAUGAAGCUCACUUGUCCUUGUGAAUUAUAAAAGAGUUUAGAGCUCACUUGUCGGUGUCGCUUAUAAAAGAGCUUAAAGCUCACUUGUCCCUACUUAUACAAGAGCAUAAAGCUACGUGUCCUGGUUGCUUGUAAAUAGCUUAUAGAUUCCUCUCUCUCUCUUAUAAAAGAGCUUAAACCUCACGUCUCCCUGUCACUUAUAAAAGAGCAUUCAGCUCACUUGUCUAUGUCUUAAAAGAGCUCAAAGCUCAUGUGUCCAUGUCCCUUAUAAAAGAGCAUGAAGCGCACGUGUCUCUGUGGCCUAUAAAAGAGCUUAAAGCUCACUUCUCCCUGUUGCUUAUCAAAGAGCUUAAAAGUUACUUGUCCCUCCCCAUUUGUAAAUGUCCCUGCGUUUAUAAAAUUGCAUAUAGCUCAUGUGUCCUUGAUGCUUGUAAAAGAGCUUAAAGCUCACGUGUCUAUAUCGCUUAUAAAAGAGCUUAAGGCUCAUGUGUCUCUAGCUUAAGGCUCAUUUGUAAAAAAGAGCUUAACGGCACAUGUUCUCUUGCUUAUAAAAGAGCUUAAUGCUCAUAUCCUAAUGAUUAUGAAGUAGCACAAUGCUUAUGAAAGAAUUGCUCAAAUGUCCAUGUUGCUUAUGAAAAGCGUCUAAUGCUCAGGUAUCACUCAUAGCUUGAUUCUACAUGUCCCUACUGCUUAUAAAGAGCUUAAGCUCACUUAUCGUGUGGCUUAUGAAAGAGCCUAAAGCUCACUUGCCCUUGUUACUUAUAAAAAGCAUAAAGCUCACUUGCCCAUGCUGCUUAUUGAAAAACUUAAAGCUCACUUGUCCCUGUCAUUUGUAAAAGAACUUAACUCACUUAUCCUCAUGUUAAUUGAAGAGUUAAAGCAUAAAGCUCACUUGUCCCUCUGCAUAUUAAACAGCAUAAAGCUCGCGUGUCCCUAUGGCUUAUAGAAAAGCUUGAAGGUUAGUUGUCCCAGUCUCUUAUAGAAGAGUUUAAAGCUCACGUCCUGUUGCUUAUAAAAGAGAUUAAAAUAAUCUUGUCCAUGCCCUAAUAGAACAACUUAAAGCUCACAUAAAAGAGCAUGUAGCUCACGUGUCCAUAUGGAUAUAAAAUAGCAUAAAGCAACUUUCUUCCCAUUUAUGAAAAAGCUUAAGGUCACUUGUCCCUCUCGCUUAUAAAAGGGCUUAAAGCUCACGGUCCUGUUGUUAAUAUAAGAGCUUAAAGCUCACUUUUCUCUGCCACUCGUAAGACCAUAAAGCUUACUUGUCUGCCGCUUAUAAAAGAGCGUAAACUCACUUGUCCUGUCAUUUAUGAAAGAGUUUUAACGCUCACUUGUUCCCAUCAUUAAUUAAGAGCUUGAAGCAUAACGUCACUGUCCACUGCUUAUUAAAGAGCAUAAAGCCCACUUGUCCCUAUGGCUUAUGGAAAAGCUUAAAGGUUGCUUGUCCCUGUCUCCUAUAGAGUUUAAAGCUCAUGUGUCCAGUUGCUUAUAAAAGAGAUUAAAUAAACUGUCCAUGUCCCUACUAAAAUAACUUGAAGCUCACGUGUCCCGAUGUUGAUUAUAAAAGAGCUUAAAGCUCACUUGUCCUCGUCGCUUGCAAAAGAGCUAAAGCUCACUUGCCCCCCCUCCCCCUCCGCCUCUUAUAAAAGAACUUAAAAGCUCACUUGUCUCUGCCGCUUAUAGAAGAGCUCAAAGUUCUGGGGUCUGUGUAUAUAAAAGAGCUUAAAGCUCAUGUGUCCCGGUUGCUUAUAAAAGAGCUUAAAGCUCACUUGUCCCUCUCGUUUUUAAAAAAGAGCAUAAAGGUCACAUGUCUUUAUCGCUUCUUAAAGAGCUUAAAGCUCACUUGUCCCUAUGGCUUAUAAGAGAGCUUGAAGCUCAUUCGUCCUGCUGCUUGUAAAAGAGUAUGAAGCUCACGUGUCCCUGUGGCUCAUAAAAGAGCUUAAAGUUUGCUUGUCCCUGUAGCUUAUAAAAGGGCUUAAAGCUGAAUGCUCAUGUGUCCUAUUGGCUUAUAAAAGAGUUUAAAGCUCACUUGUCCCUUCUGUUCACAAAAGAGUUUAGUGCUCAUGUGUCCCUCUUACUUACAAAAGAGCGCAAUGCUCAUGUGUCACUCCUAAGCAAGAGCUUAAUGCUCACAUGUCCCUGGUGCUUAUAAAAGAGCUUAAAGCUCAUGUGUCCCGGUUGCUUAUAAAAGAGCUUAAAGCUCACUUGUCCCUCUCGUUUAUAAAAAAGAGCAUAAAGGUCACAUGUCUUUAUCGCUUCUUAAAGAGCUUAAAGCUCACUUGUCCCUAUGGCUUGUAAAAGAGCUUGAAGCUCAUUCGUCCUGCUGCUUAUAAAAGAUUAUGAAGCUCACGUGUCCCUGUGGCUCAUAAAAGAGCUCGUCUCUGUAGCUUAUAAAAGGGCUUAAAGCUGAAAGCUCAUGUGUCCUAUUGGCUUAUAAAAGAGUUUAAAGCUCACGUGUCCCUUCUGUUCAUAAAAGAGUUUAGUGCUCAUGUGUCCCUCUUUACUUACAAAAGAGCGCAAUACUCAUGUGUCACUCCUAAGCAAGAGCUUAAUGCUCACAUGUCCCUGGUGCUUAUAAAAGAGCUUAAAGCUCACGUGUCCCGGUUGCUUAUAAAAGUGCUUAACACUCACGUGUCCUUGCUUAAGAAAGAGUUUAAUGCUCAUAACCCAAUGAUUACGAAAUAGCUUGAUGAUCACGUGAGAAAGCGCUUAAUGCUCAAAUGUACGUGUUGCUUAUCUAAAAACUUUCUCGAGGGUCCCUGUUGCAUAUGAAAAGAGCUUAAUGCGUA
rnacentral:lncRNA from 1 species